rnacentral:rRNA from 1 species
GAUGAACGCUGGCGGCGUGCCUAAUACAUGCAAGUCGAGCGAACAGACGAGGAGCUUGCUCCUCUGACGUUAGCGGCGGACGGGUGAGUAACACGUGGAUAACCUACCUAUAAGACUGGGAUAACUUCGGGAAACCGGAGCUAAUACCGGAUAAUAUAUUGAACCGCAUGGUUCAAUAGUGAAAGACGGUUUUGCUGUCACUUAUAGAUGGAUCCGCGCCGCAUUAGCUAGUUGGUAAGGUAACGGCUUACCAAGGCAACGAUGCGUUGCCGACCUGAGAGGGUGAUCGGCCACACUGGAACUGAGACACGGUCCAGACUCCUACGGGAGGCAGCAGUAGGGAAUCUUCCGCAAUGGGCGAAAGCCUGACGGAGCAACGCCGCGUGAGUGAUGAAGGUCUUCGGAUCGUAAAACUCUGUUAUUAGGGAAGAACAAAUGUGUAAGUAACUAUGUACGUCUUGACGGUACCUAAUCAGAAAGCCACGGCUAACUACGUG